rfam:Ixodes scapularis strain Wikel colony gcontig_1108379879696, whole genome shotgun sequence.
GCAGUCGCGGCCGAGUGGUUAAGGCGAUUGACUAGAAAUCCAUUAGGGUCUCUUCGCACAGGUUCGAAUCCUGUCGACUGCG